GGCGGCAUGCCUUACNCAUGCAAGUCGAACGGCAGCACGGGAGCAAUCCUGGUGGCGAGUGGCGAACGGGUGAGUAAUAUAUCGGAACGUGCCCAGUCGUGGGGGAUAACGUAGCGAAAGCUACGCUAAUACCGCAUACGAUCUACGGAUGAAAGCGGGGGAUCGCAAGACCUCGCGCGAUUGGAGCGGCCGAUAUCAGAUUAGCUAGUUGGUGGGGUAAAAGCCCACCAAGGCGACGAUCUGUAGCUGGUCUGAGAGGACGACCAGCCACACUGGAACUGAGACACGGUCCAGACUCCUACGGGAGGCAGCAGUGGGGAAUUUUGGACAAUGGGCGCAAGCCUGAUCCAGCAAUGCCGCGUGCAGGAUGAAGGCCUUCGGGUUGUAAACUGCUUUUGUACGGAACGAAACGGUCCUUUCUAAUACAGGGGGCUAAUGACGGUACCGUAAGAAUAAGCACCGGCUAACUACGUGCCAGCAGCCGCGGUAAUACGUANGGUGCGAGCGUUAAUCGGAAUUACUGGGCGUAAAGCGUGCGCAGGCGGUU
rnacentral:rRNA from 1 species